rnacentral:misc_RNA from 1 species
GAUGAAGAACGUAGUGAAAUGCGAUACGUAAUGUGAAUUGCAGAAUUCAGUGAAUCAUCGAGUCUUUGAACGCACAUUGCGCCCCCUGGUAUUCCGGGGGGCAUGCCUGUCCGAGCGUCAUUGCUGCCCUCAAGCACGGCUUGUGUGUUGGGCCUCCGUCCUCCUCCCGGGGGACGGGCCCGAAAGGCAGCGGCGGCACCGCGUCCGGUCCUCGAGCGUAUGGGGCUUCGUCACCCGCUCUUGUAGGCCCGGCCGGCGCUUGCCGACACAUCAAUCUUUUUUGCAGGUUGACCUCGGAUCAGGUAGGGAUACCCGCUGAACUUAAGCAUAUCAAUAAGCGGAGGA